UUAUAUAAGGCCUGAUCCAAAGCCCAUUGAUGUCAGUCGGAGUCUUUACAUUGAUUUCAAUGGGCUUUGGAUCAGGCCCAUAUGCAG
rnacentral:pre_miRNA from 1 species